GAUGAACGCUAGCUAUAGGCUUAACACAUGCAAGUCGAGGGGAAACGGCAUUAUGUGCUUGCACAUUUUGGACGUCGACCGGCGCACGGGUGAGUAUCGCGUAUCCAACCUGCCCUUUACUUGGGGAUACCCCGUUGAAAGACGGCCUAAUACCCGAUGUAAUUCAUUGAUGGCAUCAGAUAUGAAUAAAAGAUUUAUCGGUAAAGGAUGGGGAUGCGUCUGAUUAGCUUGUUGGUGAGGUAACGGCUCACCAAGGCGACGAUCAGUAGGGGUUCUGAGAGGAAGGUCCCCCACAUUGGAACUGAGACACGGUCCAAACUCCUACGGGAGGCAGCAGUGAGGAAUAUUGGUCAAUGGGCGCAAGCCUGAACCAGCCAAGUAGCGUGCAGGAAGACGGCCCUAUGGGUUGUAAACUGCUCUUAUACGAGAAUAAUUUGAUGCACGUGUGCGUUAUUGCAUGUAUCGUAUGAAUAAGGACCGGCUAAUUCCGUG
rnacentral:rRNA from 1 species